UUAAGUUAUUAAGGGCGCACGGUGGAUGCCUUGGCACUAGAAGCCGAUGAAGGACGUUACUAACGACGAUAUGCUUUGGGGAGCUGUAAGUAAGCUUUGAUCCAGAGAUUUCCGAAUGGGGAAACCCAGCAUGAGUUAUGUCAUGUUAUCGAUAUGUGAAUACAUAGCAUAUCAGAAGGCACACCCGGAGAACUGAAACAUCUUAGUACCCGGAGGAAGAGAAAGAAAAUUCGAUUCCCUUAGUAGCGGCGAGCGAAACGGGAAGAGCCCAAACCAACAAGCUUGCUUGUUGGGGUUGUAGGACACUCUAUACGGAGUUACAAAGGACGACAUUAGACGAAUCAUCUGGAAAGAUGAAUCAAAGAAGGUAAUAAUCCUGUAGUCGAAAAUGUUGUCUCUCUUGAGUGGAUCCUGAGUACGACGGAGCACGUGAAAUUCCGUCGGAAUCUGGGAGGACCAUCUCCUAAGGCUAAAUACUCUCUAGUGACCGAUAGUGAACCAGUACCGUGAGGGAAAGGUGAAAAGCACCCCGGAAGGGGAGUGAAAUAGAACCUGAAACCGUGUGCUUACAAGUAGUCAGAGCCCGUUAAUGGGUGAUGGCGUGCCUUUUGUAGAAUGAACCGGCGAGUUACGAUUUGAUGCAAGGUUAAGCAGUAAAUGUGGAGCCGUAGCGAAAGCGAGUCUGAAUAGGGCGUUUAGUAUUUGGUCGUAGACCCGAAACCAGGUGAUCUACCCUUGGUCAGGUUGAAGUUCAGGUAACACUGAAUGGAGGACCGAACCGACUUACGUUGAAAAGUGAGCGGAUGAACUGAGGGUAGCGGAGAAAUUCCAAUCGAACCUGGAGAUAGCUGGUUCUCUCCGAAAUAGCUUUAGGGCUAGCCUCAAGUGAUGAUUAUUGGAGGUAGAGCACUGUUUGGACGAGGGGCCCCUCUCGGGUUACCGAAUUCAGACAAACUCCGAAUGCCAAUUAAUUUAACUUGGGAGUCAGAACAUGGGUGAUAAGGUCCGUGUUCGAAAGGGAAACAGCCCAGACCACCAGCUAAGGUCCCAAAAUAUAUGUUAAGUGGAAAAGGAUGUGGCGUUGCCCAGACAACUAGGAUGUUGGCUUAGAAGCAGCCAUCAUUUAAAGAGUGCGUAAUAGCUCACUAGUCGAGUGACACUGCGCCGAAAAUGUACCGGGGCUAAACAUAUUACCGAAGCUGUGGAUUGUCCUUUGGACAAUGGUAGGAGAGCGUUCUAAGGGCGUUGAAGCAUGAUCGUAAGGACAUGUGGAGCGCUUAGAAGUGAGAAUGCCGGUGUGAGUAGCGAAAGACGGGUGAGAAUCCCGUCCACCGAUUGACUAAGGUUUCCAGAGGAAGGCUCGUCCGCUCUGGGUUAGUCGGGUCCUAAGCUGAGGCCGACAGGCGUAGGCGAUGGAUAACAGGUUGAUAUUCCUGUACCACCUAUAAUCGUUUUAAUCGAUGGGGGGACGCAGUAGG
rnacentral:rRNA from 1 species